rnacentral:lncRNA from 1 species
GGUUUAUAGACCAUAGGUAGGUUAAGCUUAACAGGAAGUAAAGCGGUGUUGAAUGUACAUUCAGCGAAGUUAGACUUAUCCCUAUAAAAGGAUAGACCUUUCUUCUUAAUAAUAUUAUUAAACUUAAUAGGUUUUCCGUCAUACGUUUCACAUGAUUUUAUAUCAUCAAGAUUCUUUGUUGUUAUUGUAAUAAUAUUACGUUCAAUUAAAAAUUCUAAUAAUGCUGUACCAAAUGGAUAGUUUAUGUUAUUACUCUGCUUUUUAAUAUCAACAUUAUCUAUAGCUUUUACCUUAUUCCCAUUAAGGAUAUUCUUAUUAAGGAUAUUCCCAUGUUGACGAAUACAUGAAUCAAUCCUAUCUAUCAAACUUGCUACACUAACAUUUACAGAAAUGUUAAAUAAACAAGAUAUUGUGUGAAUUAAAAGACAUUCC